UACGUAGGGUGCGAGCGUUAAUCGGAAUUACUGGGCGUAAAGCGUGCGCGGGCGGUUUUGUAAGCCAGAUGUGAAAUCCCCGGGCUUAACCUGGGAAUGGCAUUUGGGACUGCAAGGCUUGAGUUUGGCAGAGGAGACUGGAAUUCCUGGUGUAGCAGUGAAAUGCGUAGAUAUGCGGAGGAACACCGAUGGCGAAGGCAAUCCCCUGGGCCUGCACUGACGCUCAUGCACGAAAGCGUGGGGAGCAAACAGG
rnacentral:rRNA from 1 species